GGGCUCAUGGUGAAGAUGGUUUAUCACGCCUGCUUAGCAUGUCCGCAAUUGCAGGAGGUCUGGAGUUCAAGUCUCCAUGAGUCCA